UGGCUCAGGACGAACGCUGGCGGCGUGCUUAACACAUGCAAGUCGAGCGGUAAGGCCCUUCGGGGUACACGAGCGGCGAACGGGUGAGUAACACGUGGGUAACCUGCCCUGUACUCUGGGAUAAGCCUGGGAAACUAGGUCUAAUACCGGAUAUGACCUGUCACCGCAUGGUGGUGGGUGGAAAGUUCCGGCGGUACGGGAUGGACCCGCGGCCUAUCAGCUUGUUGGUGGGGUAAUGGCCUACCAAGGCGACGACGGGUAGCCGGCCUGAGAGGGUGACCGGCCACACUGGGACUGAGACACGGCCCAGACUCCUACGGGAGGCAGCAGUGGGGAAUAUUGCACAAUGGGCGAAAGCCUGAUGCAGCGACGCCGCGUGAGGGAUGACGGCCUUCGGGUUGUAAACCUCUUUCAGCAGGGACGAAGCGUGAGUGACGGUACCUGCAGAAGAAGCACCGGCUA
rnacentral:rRNA from 1 species